GGAAACGAGAAUAAAGCGUGAAGGAUAACGUUGCGUCAGCAACGGCCCGUAGGGCGAGGCGAAGCCGAGUCAUCCUGCACGACCCACCA
rnacentral:sRNA from 1 species